rnacentral:lncRNA from 1 species
GGUAACUGUUGUGUAUUUGAACUACAUUCUCAUAUUAAAAUUAUUUAUAUUUAACUUUUGUAGAAUUUUAUGAUUUUACAAUCUUAAUCAAAAAUAACUUAUUUCUAACAGAAUAAUUCGUCAAACAUGCCACUUUUCUUGUUGUCUUAUCAUUAAUGCAAGAGAAUUAGUGGAAACCACAAUUUUCAACUGUCAAGUUACUAUCUAAUUCUCAUAGCGAAACUAUCACAUGGUGGUGACAACUUGUUGUCGAGCUUGGUGUGCUUAAUUCUUUCCCUUGUACUAGCUGGUCCAACGUCCCACAAAUCCAUGAUUCAAGUUGUUAAUUGGACAACUUGAGCAUACAAACAUAAUUAAUUGCUAGUUAGCAUCCAAAAUAAUUAAUAUAUCGAACGAUAUUUUGCAGUAGUCAUAUUCUAACAUGCAUAUAUAUGUUAGUCAAGUAAAUAAAAGUCGUGCAACCUAUUAUAUAUCGAAUAUUGACUACUAACUAACUAUAAUUACAGAUCAGACCAAUAUAUACACACAUAUGGGAGACAUAUAUGUUGCUAUUAUCCAUUUUGCAGCAAUUUUGUGCAUGAAAGCAUGACAUUAUAAUAUUAUUCAGGGGCAUAAAAAGGAAUAAAAGAAUCAAAUUAAUAUUUAUAAUUAUAAAUAAUAAUAAAUAAAUAAAACUUGAAUAGGUCAAUUCACAACCAUAUACUUUGAAAUAGUUGUUGACUGUUCCUCUUCAAAAAAAAACCAAAAACAAUUGAAAUGAAUAAGUUAUACUCAAUAAAUUACAAACUAAGUAAGAUCAACAUUAGUUGAAAUUUACACUACAAAUCAACAUUAGUUGCAUUAAUCAAUUAAUUCCCAUGAAGAAUUAAUUAAGCUCAAGAACUAUUACUUUUUUCUUGAUGAAUAUCAUGAUCCUUUGAAGAAGCCACUCCAAAAUGAACCAUGACCUGAGGAAAAGCUGCAGUCGGUGCUGCCUGAUCUGCCGCUAGCGUGCACCGCCUGUUGCCCUUAUUCUGUGUCCCGGGGAUAUACGUGCAUGGAUUGCUGCCGGAGGACUGGACCGGACCCCGAGGAAGGGACUGGAUGACUAAAUUAUGUUGCUUCAACAAAAUAUCAUCUCCAUCCAAUGGCCUCAUUGCAAAAAUUUCUCGAAAUCCCGACACGAACAGUACUAUAAAAAUAAGUUUCGUUGUGAGAGCCAUAUAGAAAAAGUGUCUAAGAAAUUUUGUUUUGCCGAUAAAAUAAAUGUAUGUGCAUUAAUCGGAGAGUUUAUGGAGAUUGAGGAGGUUUUGAGAGUUUGGUGUUUGAUAAUAAUGGGGAGUGUUUGGUAGUGUGUAGUUUAUAUACAUCAUACAUGUGUAUAAG